CCAAACUGCGCGAAAGAGCAAGACUCUGUCUCAAAAAACUAAAAAUAAAUAAAUGAAUAAAUAAAAAUAAUAAUAAUUGAGUAAUCCAUAGGAAGAUAAACUUUCUUUACUGGAAAAUUCAAAGCAUUAUUAUCUUCAAUUUUGGAGAUAAGAAUACAACUUUUAAGCAUUUAUUUAUGUAAAUGUUUUUAAUAAAAACUUAUCUGAUAAAAAUAAGGUGCUACCUACUGAAGUGAUUAAUAUUCAGGUGACAGUGGAAAAUGAUUAGAUUUAUAUUGAUUUUAUCAGUCUACAUUUUUCCUCUGGAUGUAGGAAGAAGGUUAUUUGGACAUCAUAGUCCCUUAAAAAAGGUUGUGGAAUGAAAUAGUGUAUGUCUUGCCUUAAUUGGAUUAAAGUAUAAUCCUAUUGAGACUUUCUUAUUUCUCAUUUGGAAUGGAAGCUCAAGACACCUGGAGCAUUAUUUGAGUCUUGUGAGGGAUCAGUAGAAUAUCUUAGGCACGUGGUGACAGAAUACUGAAGACACAAUGGCUAAUUAAGUGUAGAAUAGUUCCAUUUUAUUUCAGGGAGACAGAUUCAUGUUUGUUUUCAAACUAAAUUCUUUGCUUAACUUCCUUGAUUCUACAAAAAUAGAAAACAUUAUUUCAAAGAGAAAUAUUUUGAGGCUAAUGGAAAAACAUAUGCUACAUUGUAUUAUAAAUGAAUGCAAGAUGGCAUUGUUAAUUUGCUUGUAUUUUUGUUGUAGGCUUAUACUCAGGGAGACAUCUGGAUUAAAGGAGCUUUAUUUCUUCUGGGUGGGACACUAAUAUAAUUUUAUAGGAACUGGCUCCCUGCAGUGAUUAUCUGACUGUUAUCAUUGGAUUAUUCUUAAGCAAUCUCAAAUCAAACUGUUUUGAAGCAAAAAAAGAUGCAGUCAUUUAACAUUAUUAUGAACAUACAUUUCAGCUUGAACUAGGCUGAAAUAUCUGCAAGUGUUAAUGAACAAUUCACAGGAGAAAGCUUUUCAACAAAGCAGUCCAACCUCCAGUGCGGCCUUCUGAGAGAUGGAGGUAAAUGAAAUCAGUGGUCUCAUUGUUCACCAACCAGCCCAGCCAAGGGGAUCUGCUCAGUAAAUGAAGGUCUCUAGGCAUUUUGCUCAAAGGAAAUAGGAUCAAGGUUACAAUAAACAAAUUUUUCUGGUGACACUUUCCAAUUAUGGCAUAUUCUGUCUCCCUCUGGUUGUCCUGGUAACUUUAAUUAAAGCUGCUCCAGUCUAUUUUGGAGCUUUAAAUACUGUAAUAUACUCCAACUCUUAAUUCAACCUUGAUAUUGAGCUUAUGAUUAGAUAACAAGAAGAGGAACAUGACAAAUGUUCUCAAGUGAUUUUUAAAGUAGGUUUUGUUUUUGUUUUCCUGGAAGUACUAGAUUAUUGUUAUUUAACCAAAUAGUUGUUUUUUGUUUUUUUUUUUAUUUUUCUUUAACUCUUAGGCCAGUCAUUCUAUAUCAUUUCUAUUUGUCAGCAGUGCCAAUAACAUUUUAUAAAAAUGCAGGUUUCUGAUCUUUAUCUCUAGGGAUUUUAACUAAAAAAUGUGGAAAGAAACUCAAGAAAAAUUAGAUCCAAAGAAGUGAGAAGGGGGAUCCAGGAAGGAAUUCUGAAAUUCUUUAGAGACUCAAAGAAGAAUACAAAAUUCAUUGUGUUUGGCUAUUAGGGGUCAUUGGUUUACUUUUGUGAGAAUAGAUUCAAUAGAAUGCAUUGGAACAGAAUAAAGAUGGUAGUGUUAAGGAGUGAUUGGAAAGUGAAACAUUGGCAAGAAAUUUGUCUGGAUUUUCAUGAAGUUUGGUAGGACAGUGAAGGAAAAUGUGGAGUACUACUAAAGCAUGUUUUUCUUUCUUGUUUAUUUUUGACACUGGAGGACAUAUAAGCAUGCUUAUAGCUAGAAAAGCAGAAAUCUAUGAAAUUUGAAAAUAAGAAAAAUAUAGUCUGAAUGUUGAAGGAUGAUUCCAGAAAAAGCAGACAGAGAGAGAUCGAGGUCAUGCAAUUUUCUUUGAAAAGAUUUUGGAACCUUUCACUUGGGACAGAAGGAAUAUUAUUAGAUGUAAAUAAAGACAGUUUUGCAGGUAGAGAAAAUUUAAAAGUCACAAUGGAUGACCACUUUUCUCUUGGUCAAGUAGAAGGGGAUAUUAUAUGUAAGAUAGAAGGGGCUAUGGGAGUCUUGGGGACUUGUUGAAGAUUUGGGAGAGCAAAGUAAGAAAAGGUGAAAGGAGUCUAUUAUGGGUAAGUAAAAUGACUGAGGAAUAAAAUCUAGGGCCUUCCUAAUACUGAGAAGAAUCAGAAGAUAUAAAACACCCUCAUAUUCUAAAAAUGAGGUUCCAAGCUACAUAUGAAUUUCAAAGACCUUUCUGAAAACUCUGUGUUUAUGUAGAUGUGCAUAUUUUGAUCAUUAAUCCAGAAUCUGUCUGGAGGGUAUAAAUUAUCCAGGUUAAAGAGAACAGGAGAAAAAUUCCUUUGAAAGAGGUAUAAAAUGUUGUGCCAUUUGCUUUCUCCAAGGAGAAAAGUAUGCUUACCCUUCUCUGUAAUCUUAGUGUAAAUGUCUUUGAGAAGAUUACUUAGACAGCUAAUACAUUUCCCUUUGAGUCUGAGUGGUGAAGGGAUUAGGUAAUCCAUUAUUGUUUUGCAAAAUUGAGAUUACUUUUAUUUAUUUGGAUUUGAUACAUGCCUGUGGAUGCUAAAAGGGAAGUGCUGAGGCUCGACAUGUUUACCUGGUGACAGGGCAAUGAGACACGGCAUCAAGGGCCACAAACUUACAUACAAAACAAGGCAGUGUGAGAUGGAGCUGGUCUCGGACAGGACCCAACAGGGCUUCCUGCCAGGAACAAAACUAGUUUAGCGGAAAGAGCGUAGAAAUAUACUGUCAAAUGGGAGCUGAGAGGCUGGGGUUUAAAUGACCCUCAGAAGUAUUACAUUGCAACUGAAUGUCCUGGGUACCUCCAAACAACUGGGAAAGUAUCUCAAUAAAGGAAUAAGUCAGUGUUGAACAUCCAUCAGCUGCAGAGAGUAACAACACAUAAUUAUAGUCAAGAAAAGGCCAUCUGUUGUGAACUUUCUCAUAGUGCCAUUGCUGAAAUCACUGUGCUUGAGCUGCUAAGUAGUGUCAAGAUGAAAUCAGGAGGAAAAACUUGGAGAGUGGACAUAGCCAUCUACCACAUUCCCCAUCUGAAGUUUCUCUGUCUGAAGCAGUACUAACAUAGUAAUGGGAUUUUAAAUGAAUUUUACAUUAAGCUUAGAUAUUUGAUUUUUAUUCCAGACUAGAUAUUGUAAUUGAUUAACUGAGACUACUUUUAGCAAUAACACUUUUAUGUACAAUGGUGAGUGGAAAAAUUAGGGAACCUGAAAGGCAUAAUGUUGUGUUCAAGUAUGAUUAAUAGACAAGCCAACAAAAGGAUGAUUUAAACAGAGUGUGGAUUUAUUUUUCCUCCUGUAAUAAGAUAUACAUAGGUAGGUAACUCAAGAGAUUUCCAGAAAUCCCACUGUGUUACUUCUGUGUCUAUCUCACUGGGCAACCUUUGGCUGCAAGGGGGAUAAGAAAUGUAGUUUUAGCCAGGCCAUUGCUUCUCUGAACAAAAUUGGGCGAACAAUUACAAUGUAUAUCCCACCAGUUGAUGUCUAUGUGAAGACUUUUUCAGGAUUUAAUAUGAGUUUUAUGGAAGACGGUCUAGAGAAAAAUCAUUUUAAAGAAGCAGAGGAGAGGAAAGGAAACGUUGUUUUCUGUGGGCAUUUUUUAUAUGGAGCCCCACCUUUCAAUGUAACAGUUAUAUUCAUAAUCAAAUCAGCUUUCUCUAACACGGCUUGGCAUAAUAUGAAGAGUAGAAAACUGCAAUUACUUUUGCACCAACUUAAUAGAAUGAGAAGACUGUUGAAUCCAUCUAGGAUUGAGGAUUAGCAAAGUAAACUUUGUAAACAUCAAGGAUAUUUGAGAAUAGUCAACAGUAGUUGAAGUAUUUGAAACCAGGAACCAUGUUAGAUAGGAUCUGAUAAUGGUCAAGAAAUAAGAGUUCAAGGGAGUAGAUGUUUUUUAUGUGGAUAAAGUGUACAUUUAUAAGGAACAGUGGAGACACAAGAAGUUGUGGUAAAGGACAGAAAUUUAAGAAAUUAAGUGUUCUGGGUAAAAAGAAUGUAGAGGCAUGAGUGAAUGAGCUGGUUACUUAGAUGGAGAAGAGUGAAAGUUUUUG